GGGCGGAGAACGGCGGGUCAGAGAGAAGGCAGCCCGGUCCCCCUCAGUGGAAGGGAGUGGCGGUGGGCGGAGGGUGUUGAGGGGACGGUGCCAGCGGCUUGCGGGAAGCCGGGCGAUGCGGGUAGAACGGUGGAGGAGAGGGCAGGGAGGCCGGGGCCUCCCGUGGAACGGAACCGGGGGGUUGGGAGGCUGGGGGCGGCCUGUGUGAAGGGGGCGGGGAGGGAAAGGCUCGCGGCCAGUAGAUGCAGGAGGGAGGAGGGCCUAGAGGGGCUCCGGGCUGGCGGCCUCUGUGAGGAAGGGGAAGGAUAUGGAACCAAGAUCCUUUAAAUCCUGAUGAACUCAUCCGUAAAGCAGAUGCCCAAAGGAUGAUAUAGAGAUGGAUUUCACCGUGUUAGGAUGGCCUCCAUCUCCUGACUUCAUGAUCUUCCCGCCUCGGCCUCCUGGGAUUACAGGUGUGAGCCACCGCAUCUGGCCAGAAGUUAAGUUUAAAAGUAGAAGACAAAGAAUUGAACAUACUGACAUUGAUUCUUCGAAGAGAAAUUUAGAACUCAUAUCUAACACCAGCCUCCAAUUGAUUGAGCCAAUUCCUUCAAAUAAAUCUCUCUCUGCAAUAUGCAUCCUAUUGGAUCUGUUUCUGUAGGGAAUUCUGAUUAAUAUACCCUUUCAAGGAACAGCUUUGGAAGAUUAAGAUAAUUGUCUGCUUCUGGAACAAAAGACAGGUUUGUUGCUGUUCAGUUUAAUAAAGAGAGUGUCACCUUCUGGGGCAAAGGCUGAGCAUGUUGGCUUGCAGUUCACUGUUCAAGACUGGGCUUUCCUAAACUUGGUGUACCUGGGCGGUAAAACCAAUCACAUGUGCAGCAUCCACCUGGACUGUCCCCAUGGGACUUGGAAGGGAAAGGGGAACCGAAGGGAAUAUGAAGCCCAGGCUACUGGCUGUGCUGUGAAAAAUAAAGCCCUUUCUCUCUGACUCAGGUGUUUUCUGCCAUCAUUUGUGGAGCUGUUAGAUGAGCUUGUUAGCUUGCAAGUAGGGUAAAAUCUAACAUGAUUCUGAAUAGUAUCUAGCCAUACUAUACCCAGCUCAUAGCAGUUGUUCCAAGAAAUAUUUGUUGAAUUAAUUAGUGAAUACCGGGGAGCCUUAUUUCAA
rnacentral:lncRNA from 10 species